rnacentral:misc_RNA from 1 species
UUGAAUCCUCAGGAUGUCGCUGGCUCUCUCGCAAGGGAGAGCAUGUGCACUCCGCCUUCAAUCCACCUGUGCACUUAUUGUAGGUCAAAGGGGGAAACCCCAUUGCCUAUGCUUUUUACACACACUUUAAAGUAUCAGAAUGUAACACAGUAGACCUUCAGGUCGAAAUAACAAUA